rnacentral:rRNA from 1 species
CGCUGGCGGCAGGCUUAACACAUGCAAGUCGAGCGCACUCUUCGGAGUGAGCGGCGGACGGGUUAGUAACGCGUGGGAACGUACCCUUUUCUAAGGAAUAGCCACUGGAAACGGUGAGUAAUACCUUAUACGCCCUUCGGGGGAAAGAUUUAUCGGAGAAGGAUCGGCCCGCGUUAGAUUAGAUAGUUGGUGGGGUAACGGCCUACCAAGUCUACGAUCUAUAGCUGGUUUGAGAGGAUGAUCAGCAACACUGGGACUGAGACACGGCCCAGACUCCUACGGGAGGCAGCAGUGGGGAAUCUUGGACAAUGGGCGCAAGCCUGAUCCAGCCAUGCCGCGUGAGUGAUGAAAGCCUAAGGUCGUAAAGCUCUUUCGCCAGGGAUGAUAAUGACAGUACCUGGUAAAGAAACCCCGGCUAACUCCGUGCCAGCAGCCGCGGUAAUACGGAGGGGUUAGCGUUGAAGCC